rnacentral:rRNA from 1 species
UACGUAGGGGGCAAGCGUUGUCCGGAAUUAUUGGGCGUAAAGCGCGCGCAGGCGGCUAUCCAAGUCAGUGGUGAAAGCCCGGAGCUCAACUCCGGAACUGCCAUUGAAACUGUUUAGCUUGAGGAUGAGAGAGGUGAGUGGAAUUCCCAGUGUAGAGGUGAAAUUCGUAGAUAUUGGGAAGAACACCGGUGGCGAAGGCGGCUCACUGGCUCAUUACUGACGCUCAGGCGCGAUAGCGUGGGGAUCAAACAGG